rnacentral:rRNA from 1 species
GACGAACGCUGGCGGCGUGCCUAAUACAUGCAAGUAGAACGCUGAAGAGAGGAGCUUACUCUUCUUGGAUGAGUUGCGAACGGGUGAGUAACGCGUAGGUAACCUGCCUUGUAGCGGGGGAUAACUAUUGGAAACGAUAGCUAAUACCGCAUAACAAUGGAUGACACAUGUCAUUUAUUUGAAAGGGGCAAUUGCUCCACUACAAGAUGGACCUGCGUUGUAUUAGCUAGUAGGUGAGGUAAUGGCUCACCUAGGCGACGAUACAUAGCCGACCUGAGAGGGUGAGCGGCCACACUGGGACUGAGACACGGCCCAGACCCCUACGGGAGGCAGCAGUAGGGAAUCUUCGGCAAGGGGGGCAACCCUGACCGAGCAACGCCGCGUGAGUGAAGAAGGUUUUCGGAUCGUAAAGCUCUGUUGUAAGUCAAGAACGGGUGUGAGAGUGGAAAGUUCACACUGUGACGGUAGCUUACCAGAAAGGGACGGCUAACUACGUG